rnacentral:misc_RNA from 1 species
AGCAGCCGCGGUAAUUCCAGCUCCAAUAGCGUAUAUUAAAGUUGUUGCAGUUAAAAAGCUCGUAGUUGAAUUUCGGGAUUGACGUGAUGGUCGUGCCUUAAGGGGUAUGAACUGUUGCUGUUGAUUUCUCACCUUCUGGAGAAACUUGAUGUCCUUAAUUGGGUGUCUUGCGGAUCCAGGACCUUUACCUUGAAAAAAUUAGAGUGUUUAAAGCAGGCAUUUUGCUCGAAUACAUUAGCAUGGAAUAAUAGAAUAGGACGGCAUGGUUCUAUUUUGUUGGUUUCUAGGAUCACCGUAAUGAUUAAUAGGGAUAGUUGGGGGCAUUAGUAUUCAAUUGUCAGAGGUGAAAUUCUUGGAUUUAUUGAAGACUAACUACUGCGAAAGCAUUUGCCAAGGAUGUUUUCAUUAAUCAAGAACGAAAGUUAGGGGAUCGAAGACGAUCAGAUACCGUCGUAGUCUUAACCAUAAACUAUGCCGACUAGGAAUCAGACGAUGUUAAUUUUUUAAU